GACCUCCCAGGAUCCUGUGUGGAGAGUGGUUUAUAUUCUGCCAGCUUCAGAGACGGGAGAGAAAGGAAGCCUGGCAGAGGUACGCAUUCUGUUCCCAGUUUGCUCAGUAGCUGGAGACUGGAAGACACUGCAACAAGG